UGGGGAAUCUUCCGCAAUGGACGAAAGUCUGACGGAGCAACGCCGCGUGUAUGACGAAGGCCUUCGGGUUGUAAAGUACUGUCUUUGGGGACGAACGGUAUCUAUGUAAAUAAUGUAGAUACAUGACGGUACCCAAGGAGGAAGCCCCGGCUAACUACGUGCCAGCAGCCGCGGUAAUACGUAGGGGGCGAGCGUUGGUCCGGAAUCAUUGGGCGUAAAGGGCGCGUAGGCGGGUCAUUAAGUCUGGUGUGAAAGGCAGGGCUCAACCCCUGGAAGGCACCGGAAACUGGUUAUCUUGAGGACAGGAGAGGAAAGCGGAAUUCCACGUGUAGCGGUGAAAUGCGUAGAUAUGUGGAGGAACACCAGUGGCGAAGGCGGCUUUCUGGACUGUAACUGACGCUGAGGCGCGAAAGCGUGGGGAGCAAACAGGAUUAGAUACCCUGGUAGUCCACGCCGUAAACGAUG
rnacentral:rRNA from 1 species